UCCCUCUCGGGAUCGCGGCUGGAGAGUUACCAGUACUCUACCAGUCUCGGCUACAGGAGGGGGAGUCAGGCAGAGGCCUAUCCAUUCCAUUCCCAACUUGAGCAGUGGCUAGAGAGUGGAAGACAAUCUGCUACAAGU